GGGUGUGAGGGGAAUUGGCUGCCACAUCUGUCACCCCCGCCCCAUGAGCAGGGUUGUCUUGGCUGGCAUGGAUGGAGAGGCACCUGUGUCCUACUCAGGGCUCAGUGUGCCACUCUCCUGGACAUGGAUUUACGGUUAGAACUGGACCUUCAGGAGAGAGAAAUGGAGCUGUGUUUGAUGUCUAGGGAACAGGAGCGACUGUGUUCCCUGCUGUGAGCCUCCAGACAGACUCUAAAGUGGUGUCAGUGCCAGGACUGUGUGCAGGGAUGUCACCUCAGCACAUGCAGUCUGAGGCAAGAGGAUGACCACUACU
rnacentral:sRNA from 1 species